rnacentral:tRNA from 1 species
CAGAGCCCGGUAAUUGCGAGAGGCCUAAGCCCUCUUUCUCAGAGGUUCAAACCCUCUUCUUAGCU